GCCAGCUGUUUGCUAUCCUAAACCUUGCUGCAGGUGAAGGUGGUCAGUAUGCUGGAGUUGACAUUCCUAAAACACGUCUUCUUCCUUGGCUUGGAAACAGUUUUUUUCAUUUCGAGGCCCUCUGUCACUGAAGACAUCAGCAUGCAGCUCAUCCAGGAUUCAGCAGAGAAGGACAGACAGAUCAGGGAGCUCUCUUGCUCCCAUGAGAGCGACAUGAAGAAGAUGGAGGUUCAGCUGAUCUCCACUCGCCUCCAGCUGGACUCGGUCACUGCAGAAACAAUACAUUUAAUAUUUAGGAGGAGUUUUUACUGUGAUGAAACACUGUAGUUCCAAUGCUUCCUUGUUAAUUUAUAGUUUUUACCAGGCUCAUGGAUGUUCAGAGGGAGCUGGAAGAAACAAAGAGGAAGUCAGCGACCAACCUACUCGCCACCGAGGAUGAAAUCUUGCAGCUCAAAGCAGAAUGAGGGAUGCAGUUCAAAAGCAUUAAAUUAUACCUGUG